rnacentral:rRNA from 1 species
GGCUCUUAGUGAUGGAUCACUUGGCUCGUGCGUUGAUGAAGAAUCAGCUAGCUUGGAGAAUUUAUGUGAAUUGCAAGAAAGACAAUCUUAACUUUUUUGUUUCAUUUUUAUGCAUUAGUAAUA